CUUAGGGUCAGCAACGGCCACGCCAGGUGCCUCUCCCUCCAGGUCCGUGUGCAUCACUGCCCCAGAGUCCGCGUGGCCCAGCCGCCCGCACCCCGGCCCAGGCUGGGCGCUCGCAAUGGGUCCUGGGCUCCCGGAGUCCCGCACCCGGAGGGCAGGCAGCCGGCCAGGAGCGCCAGCUCGCCUCAGAGUUGGUGGGAGUCGCGCUUUUGCCCAGGUUGGGUUGGAGGGCUCUGCCUGAGAGGGCGCCCCCGCAGAGCCGGCCUCUUAGAGUCGCUUGCCUCGCACCUCCUUUCCUCUUUUCCUUCCAGUCUCUGCCGCUUUUCCCACCAUCAGAGAUUCAGGAAGGGCUGUGAAGCAGCUCUGCCGUGGGCGACCACGACAGACAAGGACCUGCCCCCUAGAACUCACCUUCUGCUGGGGGAGAGGCAGGACCAGGAACACCCCUAACUGCACAGCUGCAGUCUGUGAGAAGGGCAAGGAAGAAGCCAGAGCGGGGUGGGGGUACAGUGAGGGGCGGGACCACUUUAGAUAGGCCUCCGAGGAGGGGGUGUUUACGCUGACCGUGAACGAGAAGAGGGAGCCCGUCUUUGGAUGAUCUGGGAGAGAGCUUUCCAGGUGGAUGGAACAGCAAAGGCAAUGGCCGCGAGGGCACGAAGGGUUACCCAGAGCUGUCCACGCCGUUUGUCCAUUCUUCCCCUUGAGAUGAAAAGGCUUAGAUUUGCAAGACAACUGGCUUCCACAGAACCGGUUCCUUCAGGUCGCCGUCAAUGGUCACCUCAGGACUCCGGGAGCCGGGAGCCGGGCGCAGCCAGUGAGGCUGAGGUGUGCAAAGGGACAACUUUCUUUAAGUCUUUAUUUUAAAAGUUGGUAUUUUGCUCACCAUGGAUUGGUUUUGCACUAAAUUUGAUUCUUAAAAAAUAUCAUAUCAAAAUUUUAUUUAUCUUGAUUCCUGAGCUUUUUGGCGCCUCCUUAAAUUUCACCCCCAGGCGAGAGCCCCACCGGCCUCAGUCCAGCCCCAGCUCAGCUCCUGGUCCAGGGUGCUGUGGACUGGGAGUCAGGAGACCUGGCUUCUGGUCCAGCUUGUGCCACUAGACCAGCUGUGUGACUGAAUGCAUGUACCCUCGGCGCCCUGAGCCGCUCAGCUGCACCAUCUCUCCAGGGACGGGCUAUUCCUGGCUCUAGUUCUAGAAUGAUCCAAGACACUCCUUAGAACUCUGAUAGGUUGUGUAUUGUAUGCAUCUCCUGGGGGCUUUGGGCCUGUUUUAGGCCUCUGACUCUGGCCAUUAUGUCACCGGCCUUUCCCCAUCCCAUGUGAGGUGAUCCUCUGUGCAAACACCACAUCUUCGUGGCUGCUUUGUGCAAUGAGCGUUGAUGCCCUUGUCGUUUUCCCCAUCCUGGGGGGAGUUUCAGUUUUGGAGGUGUGGUCGUGCCCUUUAUUCUUGCUUCUUGCUCUUUGGUUCCAAUCACUGGAUCAUGUGACACACCUUCAUUAGGAAGCUUCCCAAAUGCCAAGUGCUGAGCAACCACUCAGGAUACAAAAGAAACCUGUCCAGCCCUGGAAGAGCUGACGUUCUAGCGAGGGAGCCAGCACAUAAGCAGACCCGUGUGCUGAGAGAAGUGUGCCCGGGGUAGAGGACGUCCAGCUCAGUGAAGGUCACCUUGAGAGGACGGUGCACUGUCCUUCCUCCUGGGGGGACCCUGCAUCCUGGGGGCUGUCUCCAAGUGCCAGCGGCCCAGAGCAGUGGGCAGUCACCUUCCUAAUGGACUCUCCGCCAUAGAGAGCUGUGGUGUGACAUUUUGCAUCCACACUUGAAUGGGCGAAGCUCUGAGUUACAGCUUUCAGUUCCUUCUAACUCCCCAUCUCCCUCCAUCCCUCCUCUGGAUUGUGGCUUGUUCCUCAGUUGUUCCUAGUUCUGACAACCCUCAAAACCUGUUUCAAAGUGCACCUCCCUCUUUCAGUUCUCCUCCGCUGCUCCAGCCCUCAGGGGACUCUUCUCUCACUUUUUUUCCAAAGCCUUUAUCAACUAAUAGACCUUCUGCCUGGAGCUUAAUUAAGAUCGGUCCAGAGUUUCUUGUUGCUUCAGCAAAGCCGGAAUGUAAUGGUUCUUGCAGGGAGAGGGCACUUGCCUGGCAGUCAGUAACAGCUGGGAGGGCUCUGCUCCUCCACUCAGAGGGUACAAACAGAUGUAUCUGGCUAGCCUUCUGUGUUUUAAAAAUAAUGAAUUAUGUGCCAAUACUUGAAAAUCAGGAGAUCUCAAAUAAAACUCUGGGUUUUCGGCUUCCCUUGAAAACUUAGAAGUUGUGCCAACCCUGAGCCUACAUUCCUCCCUGGCAAAAAUUGGCUAGAUCUGGUAGCACCUUUUUCCUUAAGUGGGGCAUGGGUCUUCCAGUUUGCCACAAUCCCCACUACUCCUUAAUGUCUAACAUUAGGCUCCCUUUACUUAUCUACUUUACCUUCCUGGCCCCUAGAGGAUUUUGAGAUUUUAAUCCCUUCUAACUUUUUUCUUUAAGAGGGUAGACAGCUCAUCAGAGCACUAUGCACUGGCUGAUGCUUAGCAUGGCCCAAAGGGAGGCUGGGCAUCACUCUGAAAAUUGUUGGGGAGGUGGGGAGGGGACACUUAGGAGGGUGCUUGCUGUGAAUCAGUCUGAAGAGUCUUAGUAUCAACGAACUCCAGUGUUGGAACUUGGCUGCUACCAUGCUGCUUUACCUGGACAUGUAGAGAUAUACUUAGUGUGAACAUAAAACAAUAAAUUUAUAAAAAUUAACUAACUUAUCAAGAGCACUUACUAUGUGCCAGAUACUGUUCUCAGAUUUUUACGUUUAAUUUCACAAUAACCCUGUGUGGUCACCACUGUUACUUCUCCCAUUUUAGAGACAAGGGACCUGAGACGCAGGUAGGUAACUUGCUCGGGAAUGCACAGCCAGAAAACAAGAGGCUGCAAUUGCACCAGACACAGAAUGCCUGGAACCUGGAUUUUACCAGGAUUGGAGGUACCGGCAGGUGAUGGGUUUUUCUAUUGUUGUCUUCUCUGCAUCAUCCAUUUCCUGGGGCUGUAAUCUGUUUCCCUCCUGCCAGGAGGCUGUGAAGUUUGAGGCUUCCUUCCCUUGGCACCGGGCUGAAGUUAGCUGGCCCCCAGCUCUGCUACUGUAGGCUCUUUGAUCUGGAGACACACUGGACUACACGGCUUCAGCAAGAGGAGGACAGGGGAGGGCUGGGGCAAGAAAGCAGGGGCUUUGCCAGCCCAGACCAGGUCCCCUCAGACAGCCCAGGGAUCCCAGAAGUGCAGGGCCCACCUGCCAGCCCCUGGGCAUGAGCUCGUAGCCCCUGUGUCCCCACGUCUGAGGUCAGCGCCCGGAUGCUGAGCUCCGAGCAUCCGUCUUGCUGCAAUGGAAGAUUUGAAUCCCCUUGUCGUCACUUUGCAUUGCUUCUGGGCUGUGUUCCCUCUUAUUUCAUUUUCGUCUGAAAUCCUGAGCUCACCCUCCUCGGCAGCUGACGGGCCCAUUUAUUUCCAAGGCUGCAGCCAGUCGGAGGGCUGCCGACAGCUCCGCGGAGCGCUCUGGGUUUGUGCCACCUCGUUUUGUUCCUGCAGACAGGGCUGGGAGACCAGAGAACAUCUUCAUUUUGCAGCAGCAAAGCUGUCAGAGCCUUCAGCCUCAGCCCUCAUCCUCUUGGGCCUGAGAUGCAUUUGGUUUGCCCUAGAGGGCACUGCCCGGGUUGACUCUGUCCCUUGGUCUUUCGUCCUUUUGGACUCAAAACCUUGAGAGCGUGCAGCCUGUGCUUUGCAAAUGUCCUGUCAAAUGCCCCUGAUUUGUCACAGUUGGAACAGCUCCUAGAGAUCGUGUUGUCAGAUCUUCUCGCAGUGUUCAGAUAAUGAAACAAAGCCCAGAGAGGGCAAGAGACUCAUGGGGAAUUGCACAGCAAGUGAGAGGCAGAACAAAACUGACAGGCUCCGGCCCCAGCCAUUUCACAUUAUUCCAGUCCACCUCUUCAGAAUCUCAGAAGGCCAGCCUCAAGGGACUCCCCUCACGAGGCAUCAUCUACCUGCAAGGCUCCUCCGCCAGCACUUCAGGGCACUGCUGCUCCUCCCCUUCCGGCCUCAGCUCAGAUGUCCCCUCCUCAGGGAGGCCCGCCCCUCCUGCCUUGUCUGAAGCACCCUCCAGUCACUCUCCAUCACAUUCUCUGACAUCCUCCAUUGUUUUGUCCUCAGAGCUCUGAUCAGUACCUGCAAAGAUCUCCUAUCAGAGUUUAAUUUGCAUUUUUGUUGUCGCUCCCACCAGAAUGCGAGCUCCAUCUCCCACCAGAAUGCGAGCUCCACCAGGCAGUGACCGCGUCUGUGUCUGUCUCACUCGCCUCAACCUCUCCAGUAACCUCGCCAGUACCGGCACACAGAGGCGCCCCGCAUGUCUGCGCAUGUGGAGUGAAGGGAUGAAGGGAUUUCAGGGACUUCCAAUGGUCCCUAAACAAGAGCACAGUUUUCAUUUCUUUCAGCACAGAUCCACUUUGCGUCUUCUGGAAUUUCACGCGAAUGGAAGCUUACGGAGCGUCCUCUUUGGCGUCUGCCUUCUUUUCCUCAGCAUCAAGCUCCACGCUCAGCAUCCGUGUUGAGUCUCCUGUCUUCUGCCGGCAUCCAUAAAACUGCGGUGGGCUCACUUGCUAGCUUGCAGAGCACUUGAGAGGACCGAUGACCUUCAGUUGAGGGACCCAGGCAGCCUGCGGCAAUGGUGCUCUCCUCCGUCCAUCUUGCUGAGGCUCCCAAUUGGCCUUGCCCAAUCAGAAGAUGGAGGCGUGUGUGUGGUGGCGAGAAGGCGGAGAAUGACAAGGCCUGAACUUGAACUUCAGCUCCCGCACUUACCAGCCACCACCACUCCGUCAGACACCCGGUGUCUCACUGGGCCCCUCGCCGGUGCUGAGUAAGCAUUAAUUUCACCACGCCAGAAAGUUGAAUCUGAGAGCACAUCCUUUCAAUAGAGGUAACAGCAAGAGCAGGCUUGUGAGUAGGAGAGAUCGGUGAAGACUGAAACGCUCGGGUCGCUGCACAUGCCUGGGGCCGGGGAGCUGAGCAGCAGCCGAAGGCAGGGACACACACUCGCUCCUGCGUCUCAGUUGUGGUAGCUGCAGCCUCAGCUGGGACGCAUCUGGCUGCAAAUCAACAGGCAAUUCCCGUGCCCACUGCCUUUUAUCCCCAUGGCUGUUCUACCUCCAGCUCUGUGUUCGGGAAUGGAGCCAGAGCCGUCGGAAGGGAUGGGCAGGGUGCCACAGCCGGAAGAUGGCGGGUUUUGAGUGUGUGGCGCAGGGUCCAAAUGCCGGCUCCGUCACUCUGCGCUCUGAGAGGACAUGGGUGAGUCAUUUAAGCUGCUCUGGGUCUCAGAUGCUUCACGGAAAACCAGGAUCAUUGUACCUUCAGCAUCGUUUUUUAUAAAAACGAAGGUGUGAAAUUGUAUGGGUGAGGUACAUGGUAUCUGGCAGCUGUGGUUAUGCCAAGGAGGGUCAUUGAUUGCUGCAUACGCAGCAUACACUAGGCCUGGCGCUUUGAGUUUUCACGUGUGAUCACGUGUAUCCCUCACAGCAAGCCUGUGAGGGAUUUCCACUCUCCUUCUUCUUACUCGAGUGAGGAAAUUGAGGGGCAGAGCCCAGGCCAUGGCCCAAGGUCUCAGAGCUCCUGCGUGGCCCAGGAGGGAGACGAACCCAGGCCAAUUGCCACCCGAGCAAGGUGCUUCCCUGCCUUGCUGUCGGCAGACUCUGCGGACCACACCCGGGGCCUCCCCCAGAGGCCGGUGACCCAGACCUAGCUGCUCAAAGGACUGUGCCCCUUGUGUUGGGCGGUCUGCUGGACCGACUGUGUAGUUUGCAGGGUCCAGUGCACAGGGAAAAUGCAGGGCCCUUGUUCAGAAGACAUUAAGAAUUUCUGGAUGGUGACAGCAGAGCAUUCAACCAAGCACAGAGCCCUUCUGAACAGGGGCCCACAGGUCGUAGGCCCAGGCAGCCGGCCCCAGUGGUCUUCACUGGGCUGUGCCUCCCAGGAGACUGGGGGCACGCUGUGGGCUCCCUCUGAAUGUUUUGUCAGCCUCCUAACUUCUCUGAAGACCCAAAGGAAACCCUGAGAUAUGCUAAGCAGGCCCAACACAAACCCUGAAAAUCUUCCUGGCUGCACUUAGCUCCAGCAAGAAUAUGACUGGAUCCACAUGAAAUGGUUACUUGUGACUCAGGCUGGCCAAGAGCCCUCACCUGCCCAACAGAUGAGUGGUGUAGGUCUGAGCCCGGGAACUGAACCUGGGCUGCCAAAGUGGAGGGUGCUGAACUUAACCACCAGGCCCCUGGGGCUGGCCUUGAAAAACUCUUAAUGCUGCAGUUUCCUGCAAAAUUCAGCACAAGAUUCCAACACUUCUCAAAUCGUUGAGCACAAGGAAGAAUACCCUUCUCAUCCCCCACCCAACACACACAUACAGCAUCAAUUAAUUACAUUAUUAUAAAUAAAAUGCUGUGGUGUAACAUUCCCGGCCCAGACUUGUCCUCACACAGGCCUCUGUCUGGCCACGCUGCUCGUGGCCAGCUUCAUAAUUUGGGUUCCAGACACGGGUCCAUACAUCCAAGCGAGGGGAACUGCUCUGGCCCACCUCACAGGCAGGCAGGACCACCACGCACCGACGUGACCCGCCUUACAAACAGGAGACCUGAGACGGGUGGUCAGAGAGCUGUAAGCAGCCUGGCUGGGGAGCGUCGAGUCACUCGAGUGGGCUGUUGGGGAGCCCCCAGCUGGCCCACUGAACUCGACAUUGUCUCACGUCCACCUCCCCAGGAGUCUCUUUGCAGCAGGUAUAAAUCUUAGUCCAUAAAAUUGGGCGUGCCAAAAAAAAGAAGUAGCACAUUUCUCUAUUUUCUUUCACUUCAAGUGGUGGCAGAUUCAGUCUCAGUCGUGGAUGGGGUUUUCUUUUCCCCCCACAACAGCCAGGCAUGUGCCAAGGUCCUGAGAGUGCCAGGCAGCGGGAAGGCCCUGGCUUCUGUCCCCGGUUGGGGGCACAGGCAUCUCCAUCGUGGCUGGGCAUCCCCUGCAUCGCCCGAGGACGGUCGUCCUCCCCUGGGGGCGAUUUUGCCCCCGCCCCCCAGGGGCAUUUGUCUGGGGACUUUUUUGGCUCCCACAACUGGCACCUCGUGGGGAGGGCCACUCAUGCAGCUAAAGUCCCUUCAACGCAUGGGACAGCCCCCUGCAGGAUAAAGAAUUAUUCUGUCCCGAUGUCGAUAGUGCUGAGGCUGGGAAACCCUGCCCUCAGAGGUUCUCAAGCCCCUAUUUCCCCAGCCUUCUGACUUCUGGCCACUUUAUAAUCUGGCAACUUCUUUUCCUUUCUCUUCAUGUUGUUCUGAAUGUAACUUCCCUCUCUAUUCUUGUUCUCUGCUAAACUACCUCACCAGUCAAAGAGCCCAGUUGUUCAUCCGCCACAGAGAUGACCCGUAACUGGUCGAAGCCAUCAUUUCCACACCCUAGUAUUAGAGACUGGCUUUUCCAGCCUCUCUUCCAGCUAGGGCUUGCCAUGUGACAUAGUUCUGGCCAAUGAAAUGUAAGGAGACAUGUGCUGGGGGCCUCUGGAAAAGAGAUUGCUCCUUGUGUGAGGUGUUCUGGAGAGGAGAGCUGUCUGGUGUCAGCCACCAUGAUUUUCCUGCCUGGAACAACCACGUGAGGAUGUAAGGUGUAGGGCUGUGGCAGCCGUCUUGCAACCAUGAGGUAAGUCAGGAGAAUUGCAGACAUGAGCCACCAAAUGGACCCUGGAAUCAUCCACUUCCAGGUCUCUUGUUAAAUAAGCUACAAAUGUCCUUAGAGUUUAGACCAUACUUGAUACACUUGGGCAAACCUCUUAACCUCUCUCUAUCUUACUCUUGUGUAAGAAGGGAAGAAUAAAUGCUUCCUGCAUAAAGUUGUUAUGGAGAUUUAAUGAGAUGACGUAUGUAAAGCAUUUGACUAAGUGCCUGGAAUAUAAUAACUAUUCAAUGUAUUGCAAAUGUCUUUGUUACUGUCCCUAUGAACCGAAUUAAUUGGGGAUGAUAUUACGGGUCUUCCGGUAAAUUUCUUCUACUGAUUGAUUGUUCACUCAAUUAUCCAACAAACAGGUAUUAGCGCCUGCCAUGCUAAGAUACUGGAAAUGAUAGGAAGUUAUUUAAGAGAAUACAAUUAGGGGGAAAUGAUACCUGAGAGGUUGUAUAUUAGAUCCCAGCAAAAUUCUCUUUUAUUCAAGAGCUGGAUUUUGUAAACUUUAGUUUCUGUAUUCUGUCAUUGUAUGUGUCAUAUCCAUGUACCAUGUCCUUGCCCUGGUACAAUAGCUGUACUGUUAUUGACUUAAAAUUUUUCUUUAAACCAACUUACUCUUUUGGGUUAAAUAGAUUUAUUUUUAAAAGAAACUUUAUAUCACUAUGGUAAAUGAACAACCAACAUCACUAGCCAUAAACAAAAAAUAGCCAAAAUAUAAA
rnacentral:lncRNA from 1 species